rnacentral:rRNA from 1 species
AUGGGGCUCGCGUUCGGGAAGCUCUUCAGCCGGCUUUUCGCCAAGAAGGAGAUGCGGAUCCUCAUGGUCGGUCUUGAUGCUGCCGGAAAGACCACCAUCCUCUACAAGCUGAAGCUCGGCGAGAUCGUUACCACUAUCCCAACCAUAGGGUUCAAUGUUGAAACUGUCGAGUACAAGAACAUUAGCUUCACUGUUUGGGAUGUUGGGGGUCAGGACAAGAUCAGACCUCUCUGGAGGCAUUACUUCCAGAACACGCAGGGUCUUAUCUUUGUUGUGGACAGCAAUGAUAGGGACCGUGUUGUUGAAGCCAGAGAUGAGCUCCACAGGAUGCUGAAUGAGGAUGAGUUGCGCGAUGCUGUGUUGCUUGUCUUUGCCAACAAGCAAGAUCUUCCAAAUGCUAUGAAUGCUGCUGAAAUUACUGAUAAGCUUGGAUUACAUUCCCUUCGUCAACGUCACUGGUACAUCCAGAGCACAUGUGCUACAUCCGGUGAGGGUCUGUAUGAGGGCCUGGACUGGCUAUCCAGUAACAUUGCCAGCAAGGCUUGA